rnacentral:rRNA from 1 species
UUGCAGUUAAAAAGCUCGUAGUCGAAUUCCAGGGCGGCGGGCACGGUCUGCCGAUGGGUAUGCACUGUGUCGGCCGCCUUUCCUGCUGGGGUCCGUGUCUGCACUUAACUGUGCGGGUACGGGGAACAGCGCGUUUACUUUGAGAAAAUCAGAGUGUUUAAAGCAGGCCAAGAUUGCUCUUGCAUGGAUUAGCAUGGGAUAAUAAAAUAGGACUUUGGUGCUAUUUUGUUGGUUUCGAGUACCGAAGUAAUGAUUAAUAGGGAUAGUCAGGGGCACUUGUAUUCCGUUGAGAGAGGUGAAAUUCUUAGACCAAUGGAAGACAAACUACUGCGAAAGCAUUUGCCAGGGAUGUUUUCACUGAUCAAGAACGAAAGUUAGGGGAUCGAAGACGAUCAGAUACCGUCGUAGUCUUAACCAUAAACCAUGCCGACUAGGGAUUGGAGGAUGUUACUUUUACGACUCCUUCAGCACCUCAUGAGAAAUCAAAGUCUUUGGGUUCCGGGGGGAGUAUGGUCGCAAGGCUGAAACU